rnacentral:rRNA from 1 species
UGAACGCUGGCGGCGUGCCUAAUACAUGCAAGUCGAGCGAACAGACGAGGAGCUUGCUCCUCUGACGUUAGCGGCGGACGGGUGAGUAACACGUGGAUAACCUACCUAUAAGACUGGGAUAACUUCGGGAAACCGGAGCUAAUACCGGAUAAUAUAUUGAACCGCAUGGUUCAAUAGUGAAAGACGGUUUUGCUGUCACUUAUAGAUGGAUCCGCGCCGCAUUAGCUAGUUGGUAAGGUAAAGGCUUACCAAGGCAACGAUGCGUAGCCGACCUGAGAGGGUGAUCGGCCACACUGGAACUGAGACACGGUCCAGACUCCUACGGGAGGCAGCAGUAGGGAAUCUUCCGCAAUGGGCGAAAGCCUGACGGAGCAACGCCGCGUGAGUGAUGAAGGUCUUCGGAUCGUAAAACUCUGUUAUUAGGGAAGAACAAAUGUGUAAGUAACUAUGCACGUCUUGACGGUACCUAAUCAGAAAGCCACGGCUAACUACGUGCCAGCAGCCGCGGUAAUA